rnacentral:rRNA from 1 species
UACGUAGGGGGCAAGCGUUGUCCGGAUUUAUUGGGCGUAAAGAGCGUGUAGGCGGUUUUACAGGUCCGCUGUGAAAACUCGAGGCUUAACCUCGAGAUGUCGGCGGAAACCAUCUGGCUAGAGUCCGGAAGAGGAGAGUGGAAUUCCUGGUGUAGCGGUGAAAUGCGCAGAUAUCAGGAAGAACACCCGUGGCGAAGGCGGCUCUCUGGGACGGUACUGACGCUGAGACGCGAAAGCGUGGGGAGCGAACAGG